UACGGGGGGAGCAAGCGUUGUUCGGAUUUACUGGGCGUAAAGGGCGCGUAGGCGGUCAGCACAAGUCAGUUGUGAAAUCUCCGGGCUUAACUCGGAAAGGUCAACUGAUACUGUGCGACUAGAGUGCGGAAGGGGCAACUGGAAUUCUCGGUGUAGCGGUGAAAUGCGUAGAUAUUGCUCGGAAGGCCAGAGCCGAAGGGGCCCUACUGGUACGUAACUGACACUGAGGCACGAAAGCGUGGGGAGCAAACAGG
rnacentral:rRNA from 1 species